rnacentral:rRNA from 1 species
CAGAGGUCCCAAGCGUUGUUCGGAUUCACUGGGCGUAAAGGGUGCGUAGGCGGUCGGGUAAGUCUGAUGUGAAAUCUCAGAGCUCAACUCUGAAACUGCAUUGGAUACUAUUCGGCUUGAGGUCUGGAGGGGGGACUGGAAUUCUCGAUGUAGCAGUGAAAUGCGUAGAUAUCGAGAGGAACACCAGUGGCGAAGGCGAGUCCCUGGACAGAUCCUGACGCUGAGGCACGAAAGCUAGGGGAGCAAACAGGAUUAGAUACCCUGGUAGUCCUAGCCGUAAACGGUGUGUAUUUGCUGUAAAAGGAAUCGACCCCUUUUGUGGCGUAGCAAACGCGUUAAAUACACCGCCUGGGAAGUACGGUCGCAAGAUUA